UAUCCAGGUGUACACUGAAAUCCGCGAGGAAGGGCACUACCCAAGUGUGGGAAGCUGGGAUUAUAUCUACAAUGUGAAGCUGAAAAAUUCAAGUGUCACCUCUAUUGAUAGCAACUAUGGAUACGUUUCCAAGGCUGACAUCGGUGAAGGCACUACCAUGAACGCACGUGGAGUUUUCGAGUUUCCCUACUAGAUCUCGUUGCAAGCAGCGAGUUGUUAUUGUGGUCUUCAAGUCUUGUGUGGCGUCCAUGUACGCUUGUGUAGUUUUUUUCUUUACUGUCUUUAUGGUGCAUUUUUAUAGAUCUGAUGAUCCACGAAUAAGCGAAGGAAGAUGGGGACCAAAGAGAUGUACCGUGUAAUUGUAUUUUAUUUUACAUGUCGUUGUGUAUCAAGUUGUCCUUCUUUUGUAUCGGUUACCUUUUUACUUAAUAAUUAAAGAUAUAAAGCACUCUUGUGAGCGUAUUUUCUGAAAAAUUAAGUUAAAUAAAAACAAAAAUAAUUAUAUCUAUGCCAGAAUAAAACAUCAUACGGAAAAUCAAAACGGCAAUCACUUGUGCACUACAAGAAAUAUGGUCGACGAUGACUCUCCUUUUUGGUCAUUGAAUCGUCAUUAUUUUUAAUUUAUGACCUUCUUAUGAUCAAAAUGAGGAGGUCAACAGUUGGCCGUCAAGAACGAACAAACUUGACCUUUCUAAAGUUUUGGUCACUGUUUUCAUGACCAAAACAAUUAGGUCAUGGCCAAAAUUUUGGUCAUUACCCAUGUGCCUCAUCCAUGUAGGAUCUGACAUGGCUCAGCUCAUGUGGCAUCAUCCACGUGGCAAACAUAUGACAUGGCAGAAAUAGUGACAUGUACAACACGUCAGAUAUGACAUGGCAUGGGUUGGGAUGCAUUAAAAUAAAUAUAAAUUUUUACAAGCCCAAUCAGCCAAGCCCAAAAAGUGUGGCCUAUAAAAAUAUUGCAUUUUGUUGGGACACAUGUUAUAUGCAAUACAUUAUUUCCACAACAUUAUUCUGAUCCAUCUACUAUACCAACAUUAUGUGAUGUGCACAACACAUUCAGCUACUGUACCAACUUUCAUUCCUCAAUGUAAAAUUACACAAAUAAAUUCCAAACUAAAAUUGCACAUCCCAGACAAAUGGUAUUACACAAAACAUAUCCUAUUCAGCACUAAAAGAAGAAAGUGACAUCAUAUAACGACAGUGUGGCUCCAUUGUCUUCCUCUUCUAGAAUAUUGAGACAUCCUGGCACUGAAAGGGACAACACAUGAGAGGCAAAUUAAACAUAACAUGAAAUAUGAAAAAAUGCAACAAGCGGAGCAAACUCCAAACAACAUAUAAGCAAGUCAUGGAUGCAAGAAGUGAUCAUUUUAGGGGCAUUAAUGUGCAUAAACCAAAGUAGGUUUCUUCCGUAAAUCAGGUUCCGAGUAUUAAAUACUGGUAAGAUCAAAUUCAUAUCAAGCUGAUGUGUUAUGUGUGUUGAUUCCAUCUUCCGCAUCCAGCUAACUAUUGCAUCAGAAGAAAAAGAAGAACGUGUUGGCAUCAUGACUAUAGUUCAAUCCCGGUAUAACAAACUAGGGCAACAGUUGCAUACAACUAAUAAAGGGCUUGUCAGAUUACUUAAAUUUGUAGCAUUAAUAGGUGCCCAAAGCUUAUACNUCGGUGAAGGCACUACCAUGAACGCACGUGGAGUUUUCGAGUUUCCCUACUAGAUCUCGUUGCAAGCAGCGAGUUGUUAUUGUGGUCUUCAAGUCUUGUGUGGCGUCCAUGUACGCUUGUGUAGUUUUUUUCUUUACUGUCUUUAUGGUGCAUUUUUAUAGAUCUGAUGAUCCACGAAUAAGCGAAGGAAGAUGGGGACCAAAGAGAUGUACCGUGUAAUUGUAUUUUAUUUUAGAUGUGGUUGUGUAUCAAGUUGUCCUUCUUUUGUAUCGGUUACCUUUUUACUUAAUAAUUAAAGAUAUAAAGCACUCUUGUGAGCGUAUU
rnacentral:lncRNA from 1 species